CGCCUGAUGGAGAGAUAAAAGGGAAAUAUAUUAUGGUUUGUGUUGCUUCAGUAAUGUUGCUUUCAGAAAAACCUAUGGAAUACAAACCAGUAAGUUAAAAGCUCUUCUACCGGGAAAAUAACUCCAACUUUAGAUACUAUAAUAGGAAAAGCUGUGCUGAAUGUUUUCAGUUGAGUAAAGCACGUGAUCUGAUGCACUGCUGGCAGAAGUCGCCUGUAGUUGGAGCUUGGAUGGGAUGAGAAGCCUAGUGCUCUGCUGCCACUCAUGCUGUCACCGCACUAGCCAGGAAUCUACCUGAGUGUGGCAGUAAGCAGGGCAGAAGGUUCUCUGGCUCUGAUUCCUAGACUCUGUGUGAGUAUACAGCUCCAGGAUGAGGCUGCUAAAACUUUCUCAUGUUAUUUCACUUACAGAUUUAUUUUUGAGAAAAACACUUGAACAAUUUUCAUCUAGUGAGUAAGCCUGAAAUACGAACUCAGCUGCAGCUGUCAUCUGUGCAAGAUCCACAAAAGGAGGAGUGCCUGACUGCAGCAGAACAGUAUCCCAGUUAAAGGGCCAGGCACUGUGACUGACCAUCACUGAUGACUUACUGCCUUCUCCCAGCCUCUGUUUUUGUUAGCAGAGUUCCCCUGCCCAAAAUCACCAUAGGACCUCCAUCACUGAAGAUGCUCAAAACUCAACUGGAUAUGACAUUGGCAAACGCAUAUAAUGUUAUACUGGUGCUGCUCUGAGGAGGUAGUUGGACUACCAUGACUGCUGGAGGUCCCUUGUAAGCUGAACCAUCCCCAGUUUCUCUGCUUAGAGAUCACUGGGCCAUUUUAGAGUGCGAAAAGAGAAGGGUAAUACUCAAGUCCUACUGAGAAGUUUAUGAACCCGAAAUGUUUUUGUUUAUCCAGAUAUGAGGUGGGGGGGAAGUCAUAAGGUAAUGGCACUUGUACAGGCCUGGGAUAUCAUUGCCUAGUUUUGAAACUUAUCCCCAGUACAUCCAACCAAUUACCACCAGUAAAUGGCAGACAUCUGGUUUUAGAAAAGGGAGGCAGUAUAAUCAAUACUGUAAUGCAGGGCUACCGUUCAAUUGGUUUGGUUUUCCCCUUUCUUCUAGCCCUACAAAAUGUCUAUGAUGAGAAAGUUGUGCUGCAGUAAAAUACUUCUGAAACAGGUGGGUGGUGAUGAUGAUGGAAGAGCUUUUGCAUUAUCGUCCUCCAGGUGAGAUGGACUUUGUGAGAUGGAUAGUGCUUUCUGAAUGAUUUCAAUGGCUUCUGUGUGAUCCAUCUGUCUCAAAGCAGCAAUCAACUCU